AAAGAGAUGGGAAAUGUUUUCUCUCUGAAACAAUUUGAAGGAAAGCUGAGAAGAUGAAAGGGAAGAAGAGCAGGCUAGUUACUCCCAGGCUGAGCUGGAAGCCUGAUGAGAGGCAGGAGCUGUGAUGAGUCUGCACCCCUGGUUCUACACUUGGGAAGCUGGUUCGUUGAGAGUGCUUUUGUAGCACUCUCAGUUCUGCAAGUGGAGGGAAUGAAUGACCAUGGUGCUGAGAUGGAAAAAUGGCUCUUAUGAUGGAGUAUGAACUUUUGGACUACAAGGUCAGCCUGAGGUCCUGUAGAGCUUUUUGUUCAGGGACAAUCCCCUCUUGUGUCUUGGGGUCCUCCCUCUGGCUCUGGAUGUAUCUUCUUGAGUUUCUCAGCACUGUUCUUGCAUUAGCCAAAGAAGUCACUCAGUGUAAAUUUUUCAAUCCAUAGUGUCUCUGCACUAUGCUCUUCUCUGGAAAAAAUUCCCACUUGCUAACACAGGUACAGUUUCAUCAUUAGUAACAAUGACAAGCAUCACUGUAGACAAGACUCCAGAUGGCCACUGACAUUUUAAGAACAGCAUCAUGGAAACCUGCUCAAGACUUCAAGCUGCUUGAGACCCCAGUCCUGCAAGCUGCUUGAAGAGGCUGCUGGUGGAUAGCGUUAGCAGUGUCUGUCAGCCUAAAGCAACCUGUUGGGGAUCGUAGGGGGCUCAUGUGUCUAAAAUUAUUUG